UCAAAGAGUCUUUGAAACCAGAUCGCGGGCCAGGCUGAGCACAAGCCAGCAACAGCUCACGAAGGAUCCCAGAGCCAACAGCAGUUUGAAGUCUCAUUGUGGCUAGGUCUGAAUGGCUCUAGAGGGGAACUGGUCACUAGGGCUGGAAAGGACAACCAAGCAAGGUUGAAGGUGCAGCGCUGGGCUGGAGAGAUAGCUCACCUGCUAGCAUACUUGGGGAGCAAGUAUGAAUGGAAUUGAGUUUGGUUUCCAAAGCUCUUGUGUUGUUUAAGUUCCACCAGCUGGUCCAAUUUGUAUUCCCAUUGCUAGGAUUGGAACAGGCUGAUCCCCAGAGCUCACUGGUCAUGUGGUCCAUCCUCUCUCCACAGAGGGAAGAGAAGCUGAUGAUUGAAAUCCAUGGCGCAGGGUAGCAAAGUGCGAAUCUUGAGAGGCAGACCAAGAGGAUGCUGCAGGACCUGGCUCCGUAACCUCCCACAAGCAUCUUGCCUCCAACCCUGAGCUUUAUAUUAGUACACAAUGAGUGGGUUGAGCCCUGCAGGGUCCCCAGGCUGCCUUCCUAGCUAACACUCUGACAUUCUGGGUGAUGCUUCAUGCAACGCUGAACCUUUAGAUUUCUAGGAUUUCUAUUCUUAAGGAAAAGGGAAUGUGGCUGCUGCUGCUGUAUCUUGAAAUGACCUUGAGUCAGGAUGUGUGGCGUUAGAAACCCAUGUUUUUGUAGCAUCAGUUAGCUCUUAUGGAGUUUCCAGGGGAAGUGGGUUUACAUGUUUUGAUUAUUAUUUCUUCCGUAACCAUGUUUCAUGAAACACCUUGAAAUAGGUCCUUAAAAUCUAUCCUAUUCUCUUGCACAGGAGAGUCCUUUUGGUUCUUGGGUCUCCAACUUAAGUCACUGUGGCCUUGGUGGGGCUUUGAAUGACUUACGAUCUGAAAAAUGACACAACUUUCCCGUUCUGUGGCACCAUGAGACUCAGUAAGCGACACUUUGCAGAUUCAAAAGGGAGGCAGGUUUUUGGUCUCUUAAGAGAUGUCCUAAGAAACCCUGGCAUCUCAUAGCCCGCAGUCCUUCCUGGGCGCCUGCUCCUAGAGAUGAUGACCAGCUGUCAGAAGCGUUGCCUGCUGCUGCAGGUGCCAUCCACAUUUUGGGGGGAAACAGGCUCUCUCAUUUUGCCUGUGCACUGUCUGAGCAGCCUGGCCAGGAAGCUCUAGAAAUCCUCCAUCUCCGUCUUUCCAGAACUCUGUCUACCAUUAUGCGUUUCCAUGCCAAGUUUUCCACAUGGGUUCUGGAGAGCUAACUCAAGUCCUCAUGCUGGAGCCCAGGGGUGAGGGAGCAGCACUUGACUGACUGGGCCAUCUCCCCAGAUCCCUCCCAGUCACCAUGAGGCGGGCAUGUAUCUCUGCCAUGUGUACUGUUUAGACAAGACCCCAAAGCAACAAGAACAACUGAUCUUGUGUUGGAACUUCUAAAAUUACAGGUCUAAAUAAACUUUUAUUCUUUAUAA